AAAGAAAGAAAAAAAAAAGCGUAAUAUAACAAAAGUAACUAAUGUCAUCUCCAACCAAGGUUUACCCACUGAUAUCCCCAUUUCAAGUACAUUAGUACAAGGAUUCCAAACUCUACUCAACUCUUCAUGCUAAUAUUUGGCUAGAACGUCAAGUUUAGCUCCCGAUGAAGCCCAGCUUGUGAAGGAUGACUGCUAAAAGUAGCACAAGUAUAGCCAAGAUCAUGCCAGGUUUUCCUAAGAGCCAAUUUUUUGUCUUCUUCGCACCUUCAACUCCUCUUUGAAUUCUAUCAGCCCACUUCAUCAUCUUUUCCAAGUCAUCUGGUGACAAAGAUGACAUUGCCUGUUGAGCUUUCUCUGCAUCUGCCUGACUGAGCUUCACCCCAAAUUGUUCACUCAUGUUAGACAUCAUCUCUGGACUCAUAUUUUUAAUCAUUGAAGAGAACAUCUGUCUCAUGGCUGGAUCUUUCAUUCGGUUUCUCAUUUCUUCUUGCAGAUCAACAUUUGAACUUGAUAAGCUUGAGUAAGAACCAUUAUUUAAAUCAGAAAACCCCUGUGAUGAAGUGCUUGCACUUGUACUGUCAUCCACUUUAAAAUUUUCCCUAGUGUCACGAGGUUUUGACUGCUGACCUGACCCAUUAGAAUCAAUAGUUGUUGCAGCCGAUACUGGACUUUUCUCUUUUAAUGAAGAUGCCAUUGUAAACAUCUUUUGCAUGUCUUCUGGAGACAUCUUGCCCAUCAUAUCAGUUGCCAUUUUCAGCAUGUCGGGUGUCACAUUUGGAGGAACUGAGCCAGGGCCAAAGCUAUCUGAGGAACCUUUUUUAAGAAAGGGAUUUUCUCCUUGAAAGGAGGAUGCCAACCGGACCAUUCUUUGUAGUUCUUCUGGUGACAUCUUGCCAAUAACAUUGGAGGCUGUCUUUACCAUUUCAGGAGGUAUGCCUUCGGCAUUUCCACCACUUAAGGCAGAUAGUGUGUCUGGAUCAGCGCGAGAAAUAAAAUUCUGGAAGGAUCUCAUGGAUUCGGGGUCAUUUUUUAAAGCCUCCAAAGACUCUGAACUUGAUAAGGGAGGCCCACCAAGAAUUUCAUUUUGACUCUUAGGAGGGCUGAUCGAUUCACGUGGUUGUGACGCAACACUUUUUGGAAAUGAAUUAUCCACGGCUUCUGAAGACACUAAUGGUUCUUCUUCAAUUAUUUCUUCAAUAACCAAUCCUCCUCUACGUCUUGAAGAACCACCUUCUUUCACCAAUCUUUCUUGGACACCCCUUAAGACAUCAGCAAUAGUGUCAUCAUCAGGCGAGACUUCAAGUGCUUUACUCAAAUCAGACACUGCAUCUUCUAACUGUCCCAGCUCUUUAUAAGCUUGACCCCUACGAUAAAGAGCUUUGAUAUUCUUGUCGUCAUAUGUCAAAACCUCACUACCUUCCUUUAUGCAGUCAUCGUAUUGUCCAGUUUUUAAGUAACAUGACAUCAUGUUCAAGGAACAAGCCAAUGAGAUACUCCUGCCUUUCGCGGCAGGAAUGCUUGACAGAUUUUUCUUUGCAAGCGAAUAUUUCUGCAGGGCCUCCUUAAACUUUCCCUGGCUGUGAAGAUCAUUUCCCUGCUUCUUCAGGAACUCAGCUCCGCUAAUUUCAUAUUUAACCUGAGCAUCCAUUUGGGCACUCAUUGCUGCUAUUUCUUCAGGUGAAGCAUUAGCCAUUUUUUUACCAAUCUCAGCCAUAUCCUCAGGACGAGUAUGCUUCAACUGUUCUGCAGCAACCUUUAAGUCAUCCGGCCUCAUGUUUUUCAUGCCUUCAGUAGCCAUUCUCAUUAAAUCAGGAUUAGACAUCAUCUGCUGUUGCAUCCGAGCCAAAUCAGCCGGGGACAUGCGACUCAUCUGCUCUUGCGCCAUUCUGAUCAAUUCAGG
rnacentral:misc_RNA from 1 species